UGUCCUACCCCAAGGCACGAGGAGCAAAUGAAAAUCAGAAGGGAGGAGAAGCAACAGAAACGGCAUCACCCACUGUACUUGUUGCCAUCUGGUGGGCCCUGGAAACCAUCAGUGUAUUUGGUUACUGUGUUUACACAGCCGGCAGGACACACACUGUUCACUCAGGGCUCCCCAGAGCUGUCGGAAUGGUCCCGGCUUCCCUG
rnacentral:lncRNA from 1 species